AUGCGAAGAGUGCUACAUUUU
rnacentral:snRNA from 1 species